UACAGAGGUCGCAAGCGUUGUUCGGAUUUAUUGGGUGUAAAGGGUGCGUAGACGGCAAUGCAAGUUGGUUGUGAAGUCCCUCGGCUCAACUGAGGAACUGCAACCAAAACUGUAUAGCUUGAGUGCGGGAGAGGAAAGCGGAAUUCCUAGUGUAGCGGUGAAAUGCGUAGAUAUUAGGAGGAACACCAGUGGCGAAGGCGGCUUUCUGGACCGUAACUGACGUUGAGGCACGAAAGUGUGGGGAGCAAAC
rnacentral:rRNA from 1 species